rnacentral:lncRNA from 1 species
ACCAUGGAUGGAUCUCAAACUCUGUCCCUGGCCCAGGCCGCUCUCCAGGGCAUCCAGUGAAGUGCUGAUGCAGAAGGAUGUCCCCGUCCAACUCCCAGCACAGAAUGCACAGUAGAUACAUAGAUAUGCAGGUCGGGGGAAGGCCCAGAAAGUCAGAGACAGCAGCAGCUGGGACACUGUUGGCUGAAAAUGGCAGAGGAACCCACUAACAUGGCUUUUAAAGAAAAAAGAAUUUGCUUUCUCUCAUCAGAAAUAGAAAGGCGGCCCCUGACAGCCUGGUUUGACAGCUCCAUGGAACAAGUGCUGGAAUCUGCAAUUGUCUUCGUCCUAUUGCUCACAAAAUGGCUGCCUUGUCUCUGGCUAUCACAUCUGAGUUCAGAUCAUGAUAGAGAGCCAGCUGGGAAGGCAACAAAGAGGCUGCAGAGGGGAGAACCUGGAAAUGCCUUUAGAAGGAAAGAAAACUCCGCGCUAGACGGAGGCCCGACCCUGUGCCCAGCGGCCGCUGCGUCGGGCCCCCUCGCGGGGUUGAGUGGGCACCGGGGCCAGAGGAAGGGGCCAGAGAAGGUGUCCUCCUCCCAGCCACGCCUUUCCCAGAAAGAGAACUCAGACACCGGGGGCCUCGAGCUUGCCAAAGACCCCUGGGCCCCUCCCCACACAGACACGUAUACCCUGGGGCCAUCGGGCUCUCUGAGGCCCAGGGGCUGCGACCCCUGGCCCCUGACUGGGCCGCUUAGCAGCUGCCCAAAUACAUCCACGUCAGAGCUCUGCUUCCAUCUCCAGCUUUUAUUUUCUUUUUCUUUGUGUGUGUGUAUGUGUGUGUGUGUGU